rnacentral:rRNA from 1 species
UACGUAGGGGGGCAAGCGUUGUCCGGAUUUAUUGGGCGUAAAGAGCGUGUAGGCGGCCAGGUAGGUCGGUUGUGAAAACUGGAGGCCUACACCUCAGACGUCGACCGAAACCAUCUGGCUAGAGUCCGGAAGAGGAGAGUGGAAUUCCUGGUGUAGCGGUGAAAUGCGCAGAUAUCAGGAAGAACACCCGUGGCGAAAGCGGCUCUCUGGGACGGUACUGACGCUGAGACGCGAAAGCGUGGGGAGCGAACAGG